rnacentral:rRNA from 1 species
UCCUGGCUGUAAACGAUGUGGACUAGGCGUUGGUGGGGUCAAACCCAUCAGUGCUGGAGCUAACGCGUUAAGUCCACCGCCUGGGGACUACGGCCGCAAGGCUAAAACUCAAAGGAAUUGGCGGGGGCCCGCACAAGCAGCGGAGCGUGUGGUUUAAUUCGAUGCUACACGAAGAACCUUACCCGGGUUGACAUGCUGGUACCGAAGAAAGGGGGGGACCCCGGGGGAAGCGC